UUCAAGUGUAGCCUUUGUAAGCCUGAUAAUCACUAUGUCACUCAAGCUGACCUUGAACUCCUCUGCCUCCAUCUCUGGGGUUCUGGAAUUACAGCCAUGUACCAUCAUACCAAGCUUAAAAGGGUUCCUACUUUUAACAAUUUCGCAACAAAGGCCAUUUGACCAAAUCAACCUCUCAUCUAUUUUAGAACCUUCCCAGGUUAACAACAGAUGAGUAAAAGGCAGGAAUGGGAAAAUUAUAUGCUUGGGCGUACGCGGCAGGGGGUUGUUGUUAAAAUACCUAGAGGUGAAAUGCCCUGCAAACUGACCGGGAAGACAGUGAGAAAGCCUGAAUGUCAAUAUUGGUCCCAUCUACACUUAAAGCUCUGCGGAGCCGCUGCAAUACCCACAUAGCUCUCAGCAAAGCUGGGAAGAACUAACCAGAGGCCAGACAAAACGCAAGCGAGUGGUUCCGAACGCUGAAUCACCAGUUCGCAGCAGACACACAGGGCUACUUUGGGGUAAGGAGCGACUGGAGAAAUUAAGUUUAAUUCAUUUCAAACGUGAAAGGCUGGUGUGUUCUGAAGAGACGGCAGAAGGGUAAUAAACGUUUGGAGGGUAGGAGAGGGUUAAAAAGCAAGAGCACCGACAAUCCAGUGGGGGAAAGGCGGCCUGUCUUGCUUGGGAAAUGUGCAUCUGGAAACCGCAGGACACAGAUCAAAGCCACUCUCUCCAGCCACCUGCCCAGAAACUCAGCCAGACACUGCGGGACAUAGGACAAGUGGGCAUGUGCUUCUUUUCUAAACCCAACAGGUGGCCAGACUUAGGGUCUAGACACAGCUGAGCGCUGGGACGGGUGUAAAAUGAGCGCCUGGGUCCUUCCUGAGCUCUAGGUCCAGCCCUGACGUCCUACCUGGAUGCCACCUGCACUACGGAGUCGCAAAGCAGGCGAGAGAGCAGGAGCAGAGCUUUCCGCACGGGGACAGCGCCGGGAGCAGGCGCGCGCUCCACAGCCCUCCGCCCGGUCCCUGCCCGCCCGCAUCCCGGAGCCCGCGUGUCCUCACCUCGCGGGGACAGCUGCAGCGCUGGCGACGGCGAGCCCACAUGCCCCCUGCGCGGCGGCCCCUUUCCCGUCCCCGGGAGUCGGUCGCGGUCGAGGGGCGGGGAGCGCAAUGGGCGGAGGCGCCUCAGGGGCCCGGGCCGCAAGCAGAGCCGCCGGACAGUGUCGCCGGGGAGAUCCCACCGCCCCGCCCCCGAGAAGCAAAGCACUCAGCUAUGCCAGCCCCGAGGGUGACUGAGCAUACUGGCGAAAAGGCCUUGUCCCGGGAUCGGACCACGGGUGAGGGGCGCGGGGAGGAGGGGUGCCUCCCGGUUAUGUAAUGCUCCGGCCAAGUCGCGAGCUUCCUCGCUAGGGACUGCAGGGCUCUCCCUGGAACAGCCUGAGAUCUACACUGAAGGAGGAAGCUGGAUGUCCUCAAAAGCAGUAUUUCCCUGAGCGAUCAAAGAGCAGAAGGUUCCCUGUGCUCUGUCCAAAGUUUGGGUGUGAGUCUUUGUAUCUGCUUCAAUCUCUGCUGGGUAGAGUCAUUCAGAGGACAUUUAUGACAGGUGUGGGCCACAUGGAAGGAAGUGGACAGAGGAAAGACACCUCCUUUCUCGUAAGUUGAAAAGUCGGAGCUGCUGGAGGUGGGGAGAAAAGCCCACUUGCUCAUACUCCCUGGAAGAAAAGCAGAGGUGAGAGCCUGGAAGCCAAGCAGGGGAGGAAGUACAGCAAGAAUACCUGCUCCCUCACAUCUGAUCGCCCUCCAAAUCUGACCAGUCUCUCGUCCUCCACCACCACUCCAGGUGAUAGCUGAUCACUAUGGCCAAUCUCCAGCAGGAGUCAAAUAGACACCCCCACAAGGUCAGAGGAAGCCUGGGAGGAGCCACGGAAUCUUACUAUCAGGGUACUCCACACAUUGCUUGAGGUGAUGAAUAGACGAAUCGUGGCAGAUGCAGUUCUUACCCAGAGCUACCAGCUGCCGAAUGUGGAUGCCUACUCAUCUGUGAAGACCCAUCAAAGAAAGGUGUUCUCUAAAAAUUAUAGCUGGAUAUCUCAUGGACAUCUCUAAGGGGAAAGUAAAGUAUGUUGUCCCGAAUUUGACAUUAUAUAAAUAUACUGUUGGAAUUCAAACAACACUAAAAGAAAUGCCUUAUAUCGUCUUGGCUGUGAAUUGAAUGUGAAAUGUCCUUCAGUAAGGCCCACUGGAAGACUUGGUCCCACCCGGUGGUGCUUUUUGAGAAAGUUUGGAUCACUGGGAAUGGGCCUUCAAGUUUCAUAGGCCACCCCCAUUUCCUGUUCACCCUCAGCUGCCAGAGUGUUGACCCAACGCUACCACUAGCUUCCUGCUCCUGCCUCCAUUCCCUUUGUGCCUGCUGCCACGCCUUCCCAGGCAUGAUGGACUGUGUCCCUCCAGGAACUGUGAGCUAAAACAAACCAUGUCUUUCUUAAGUUACUUUUGUUGGAGCAUUUUCUCACUGGAAAAGAAAUGAGGGCCUAUUUUAGCAGUUUUAUUUCCCUGUCCGGUGUCACAGCUCCUCGGGGGUCACUAGAAUGGCUUCCUCCCCUUUACCUCAGCUGUUCUUCUCUCACUGCUCAACUUGUACGACCAGCCUUCUCAACACGGCUUGUUUCCAGCAUCCCUUCUACCAGAAACUUUUCUCCUGUUGCUCCUCUUAUUUCAUCCUCUCCCUCUCUCUGUCUCUCUCUGUGUGCCUCUGUUUCUCUCUGUCUCUCUUUCUGUCUCUGUCUCUAUGUCUCUUUCUGUCUCUGUUGCUCUCUCUCUUUCCCUUUUGGGAUAGGAUCUCAUUAUAUAGAUAGCCUUACUCUGAUAAUACUCCUGCCCCAUCCUCCUGAGUGCUAGGAUUACAGUUAUGUAAUCCAUCUCACAGGCCAUCUCAUGGACCCAAUUUUCUGAAUCCAGAUGACCUUCAUUUGCCAGUUAGCAAAAUGUGUUCCACUCACCCUUCAAGACCAUGCUCCUGAUGUCACCAUUUUAUCAAAGCUUCCCUCCUCCCUCUCCCUCUCCCUCUCUCUUCUUUCUUUGACUGAACACAGAGCCUUCCAUGGUGCACCACUGAGCUUUGUCCUUAGUCCUGUUAUAACCUUUCUUGUCCUAUAAGAUCACCACAUUCUUGAGAAUGUCUAGGGACUGGCCCUUCCUCCCUCAACCGUCUUGCUUGUAGAUAUCUGACAGGAUUCUUCAUGGUACAGUUCAGAUCUCAACUUCGGUUGGUGCCUGCAACUUCCUUUGCAAACCAUCAGAAGGAAAAAAAAAAGAUGAUUAAUUGUUAGAGAAGGGAAUGGACAGGCAGUUAGAAAAUAAAUCACAUUCAGUAAGACAACAAUUUAGAAUCCAAAUACCAACCUAUAGACACUCACAGUGUAAUGCUUUCAACUUUUUGUUUCAAAUUUUCAAAAUAAAUAGUAAAAUAAUAAUAAUAAUAAGCUGAUAUUAAAAAUAAGCCUCCUAAGUUUCCACAAAGCCUGUACUACCCCAAGUCUAGCAUAAUAAUUAAGGAAGCAGGCAUAGAUAUCAGACAGAUCUGAGUUCAAGGCCCAGAUCCACUGUUUGUCUGCUGGGUGACCUUGGACAAGCUGCAUGUCAACUUUAACUUUUAGUUUCUUCACUAAUUUAUCUUCCCCAUAAGACUGUUGUGGAAGUUGAAGGACAAAUAUAACUGUGAAGUACCUGGCACAGUAACCGAAGCUAGAACUAAAUACAUUUUAGCUAAGAAUAAACACAAACAUUCCUCCUUUGAACACCUACAGCAUACAAUACUUGAUGGGAAACAGUUCCUCUGUCCUGUUCACUGUUCCUCAGAUGCCGAGGGGGUGUGAUUUCUUCUCACUCUUCCCUCAUAUAAUACAUCCCGACUGCAGUUUCCCCUAUAGCCCUCCCAGUGCCCUCCUCCCAUCACACACCUCUCCUCUCACCCAGAUCCACUCCUCCUUAGUCUCCCUUCAGAAAAGAGCAGGCCUUCCAGGGAUAUCAGCCAAACAUGACCUAACAGGUUGCAAUAAAACCAGACAGCCACAUAUCAGAGCUGGGCGAUGCAGCCUAAUAGGAGGAAAAGGGUCCCAACAGCAGGCAAAAGAGUAAGCGAGACCUUCCCACACACAGUUAGGAGUUCCACAAAAAAUGCAAGCUAACGACCAUAGCAUAUUUGAGAGAACCAAGCACAGACCCAUAUCAGCUCUCUGGUUGCUGUUUCAUUCUCUAAGAACCCCUGGGAGCCCUGUUUAGUUGAUUCUGUGGACCAUGAUCUCCUGGUGUCCUCAACCUCUCUGGCUCCUACAAUUUUUCCUUCCCCUCUUCCAUGGGUUUCCCAGGCUAUGAGGGGAAGGACCUGAUGGAGAUCUCCAAUUUGGGCUCUCUCUCCACUGAAUGUUUGGUUGUGGGUCACAGAGUAUGAAUUUAAUUAAUCUCUACAGAGCAAGUUGUGCAACAAGUAAAUUCUAGUUAUGUGUCACUUCUCCUGAUGGCCUCUGAUGUUUCUUAGGUAGAUUCAUUCAUUCAACUAGUGUCUGUGAGGAAACUACUCGAAACAUCAACAACCCCUUGCAGAGCUCUGACAGGCCUACUCCUCACCUAUUUCUUUGUUAGUGAAAUUAGAAUAUUAGAAUAUUGUCCCAAAUAAAAUGUGGAAAUAAUGGGGCCAAUUCCCCAAGGCUUGACCCAUGGACUUUCAAACCUAUUUUUCUUGAUCUCACUAGAUCUACACUCAGGCUUUGUAUCAAUACUAGAGUCAAUGGCAUUGGGCUUCGCUUUCCCAUUAGUAUGAUCAAAAUGAUCCAAUAUGUCAUUUAUUCUUUUCUCCACGUAUGUGUUUUGUUUUAGCAUUUUGGUUUUCUCAUAUUUUAUUUAAAUAAAGUUAUUUACUUUCCUUAGCAUUAAGGUUGGCUACCAUAAAAAGCCAAAAUGUUACACUCAGGAUGCGAGGCUAAGCACUGCACACUCAGGGUCAGCCGCUUUCGACCCAGAGAAGAGCAUGUCUGAUUGCAUGCGGGUUGAUGCCCCAGGUCCCGCCUCUGAGAAAAAGGUAUCAGACGGGUCUGAUGCUCUUUGGGUGGAUGACACCUAAAUGAACAUCAGUACAAAGUCCCAAUUUAUUUCUAAUAUCAGAGAUCAGACCUCUACUCUUGCCUGAUGCGUCUAAAACAAAAAGGGGGAACUGUAGAGAGCUGCAUAAUGCCGCGCCUGAAAGAUGGAGCUGGUUUCCGCCUUCCACCUUCCCGAUGAAGGGAGAGAAAUGACCGUGGGGCUGGCCUAUUGGACUAUUGGAGUUCACGCGGGGACAGCUUGAGUCAGCUGGGCUGUUUAUUCCAAGGCUCAGACACUGAGUGAGUUCAGCCAGCAGGUGCAUAGAUGAGCCCACCAAGACCAAAUCAGAACCAUAGAAUUUCCCAGCCAACUACCUAUUUGUGUGCACAUUUGUUUAUAUGUUGAAUUACAUUGAUGGAUUUCUGUAUAUUGAACCACCCCUGAAUGCCUGGGAUGAAGCCUACUCGGUCAUGGUGAAUGUGUUCUUGGAUUCAGUUUGAUGUUCUCAAAACCCAACUUGGAUGACAUUGCCAACGUCAGCUGGUUCCCAGUGCACCGUGAUAGUCUGCACUCCCCUGUGCUUCUGGACCACAAGUGUGAAAGUGUUGAAAAUCCGCUUCUCUUUUUGUGCCACGUGGGAGGUGUUGAGCAUGAAGGAGAAGUUAUUUACCGGCACAUGGACAACUCUUAACCAGUGGCUACAGACGAUCUCCCCCUUUUCAUCAGUGAUCACAAAAAGCCAACUGCUUAUGGUGGAAAGUGGGAAGGAGAGCUGGCGAAUCCUCCUCCCUGGCAACCUUAACUGCCGGCAAAUUCUCAGAGACUAGUGUGGCUGUGUGAGAUGCUCCCCUACCCAUGAGUGACAACGGAAGCACCUGGUUUUGUGAAGAUCUUAAAUGGCCACACAACGCCUCCCUUUUCUAGGUCUCUUCAAUUUUUGCCUUUCCUCUUUUGCAAUGCUCCCAGUUCCCUUGGCCUUGGAGAGGGUGAUACUGUGCCCUGCUGAGGUCUAAGCACUCAAUAAUAAGGAUAAUAACUUAUCUUCAGGACUUGGACCAGUUGUGAAUCUCUGCAGUGACUGCCUCCCACUGAAAAAAGCUCCUCAAAACAAAGCUGACAGCAACUCUAGUUUAUCAGCAUAAACAUAAAUAUUUAUAUAGCGGUUUGACAAGCAUGUGCUUUCCAUAUAGUGGGAAAGACGUUAAAGGUCAUGCCUGAUUCAAGCUCGACUUCUCUAUCCAGUGCUAGGUCAGAGCCUGUAAGAGUCGAAUGCAGGAACCUACCCUUGCCAACAUUCCCUGCAAAGUUGUUCAACUCUUAUAGCUAUAAAUUUGAACACUAGAAAAAUCAUGAAGAGUGCAGUUCCCCCUUCUCCUACCUGACAGCUUUACUUCGGAAGAGGCUGUUAAACAUGGUUUUGCAACUCAACUCUUAGUGAUAAAAAUCUGCUUCUUCUAAGCUGAAGUGUGAAACCAAUUAUUGUUUCCAAGGUGUCUAGCAAGACUGGGCCAAUAAACAAAUGCUGACACUACAAUACAAGUAGCAGUUAUUCGAUGAUUAGCACUAUGGAAGGAUUAGGAAACGAUGUCUUCAAGUUUGCAGGGCUACAUAUUUGGAAUUCGCACGGCAUCCCAAAGUUGCGCAAACUUUGGAGCUUUAAAAAGUCAGAUCUUGACUAAGGAGAUGGCUCAGUCCAUAAAAUGUUUGUCACGUAGCAGGAAGACCUGAGUUCAAGCCUCCUUCAUCCACAUGAAAAGCUGAAUGGAACACUAUGCUUCUAUAAUCCCAGAGCUGGGGAGGCAGAAAGACUUUCUGGAUAGCUGUCCCAAGCUAAAUUGGUAAAUUCCAGGCCAAUAGGAGACUGUCUCAAAAAGUAAGGUGGGGAGCGAUUGAGGAAGAUGUCUAAUGCCCAUGUAACUCCCCACCCCACCACCCUGCUCCUGAGCAUCACACGUAUGUGCACACAUCCGAGAAGACACAUACAAGACUUAGAGUCUGGCUGUGUAACUCGAUGGUACAGCUUCCCUUAGUAUACAUUAAGACUCAUCCAAGCCCUGGGGACAUGCACCCCCUCCCAACUUCAAAUCUCAAUGCCAUAUUCCCUUUUGAAAAGAUUAACCUCUAUAUUUAUAAAUAAAGUCAUGUUGUUAUGAUGUUUCUACCGAUGAUCAUUAAAAUGCCACAGAUGAAAUUAUCCUUAAUUUUUUUCCGAGUUCAAGCUUGACAAUGGAUAUGGAUCCGCACAGGUGGAUUUGGCCAAGACAAUCCUCAUGUUUAUUUCAUGAGCACAAAAGACUGUUUUGAACAGCUGAAGUCAAAUGUGAAGUUCAGAACACAGGCUAAAGUACACAAAGAACUGUGCAGUUACCCAUUCCUGGCAGAGGAAACAGAACUCAACUGUUGUAGACAGCUAUCUAUUUGCUUGGCUGUUUUCAAAAACUGUGGGGGAGGAGAAGGAAGCUGCAGAUAAUUGCCUCACGUCUCCAUCUCCUUCUGCCUGUCUAAACACUGCAUACUUAGCUACUUGCUGGCAGCACUCAAACUGACAAAAUGCCUGCUCAUUUUAGAAUUUAGAAUCCAAUAUAAAUAGUAAUUGAACCCCAGAGGAGAAUGCCUAAUAGUGCUGAACUGAAAAUUCAAGGUGGUUUUGACUUACCUAAUUUCAGCCCAUGCUCUUACAGAAUUCAAUACAAAAAUACGCUCAGCUUACAGUCAAAACAUUGUGGUGUUUAGAAAACGAUUCUCCUUUUAAAUUUAAAAGCAUGCCCUUUUUCAGGCAUGCUGAUCUACAGCUUUAAUCACAGCACUGGGGAGGCAGAGACAGGCGGAACUCUGUAAGUUCAAGGUCAGUGAAGAAGCAUCAUGCCUCUAUCUUAUGCUUAAAAGCCAUGUUAUAGUAAAGACAAACUAGAUUCGUUCCUGGUUAUGAUUAAACCUCUGUGUUUCAAGAAUUGGGCUAUGUCCCUACCUACAGACUUAACUACAAAUGUUUCUGUAUUGCACCCUCUAGGAUUGGCAAUCGUGUCUUUGUUUCAAAAGUUGUUUAUAACCGUCUUGCGAACCUACCUUUGUUUCAAAAGGUUAUAUGACCAUCUGUGACUACCUGUUGUUCUGACUACCUUUCAACCAUGUCAUUGUUUCGGGAGGCCAUGAGGACUAAUUUGUUAUGAUGUUCUGCUCCUCUACUUCGAACUGUUUUGCCUGCCAAAUCCCCCAACUGGAAACCCUCUACCCCUCAGCUAUACCAGCGUUGUCUUCCUCAGAUUCAAUGCUGAUCUUUUAAAACAUGGGAAGGCAGCCCAUGUACAUGAAUGAAAAAACUUGCUUUAUUAAUCACUUGCUUUGAUUAAUUUUGCCAUGAUAAUUUGAAUCCAUAGUCUUUCUCCUCCCAUCUUUGGGAUUAACAUCUGCCUAUUCCACAUAGCAAGCUCCACGACAGCCAGGGUUACAUAGAGAGACAACCAACUCCAUAUAUGUGUGUGUAUAUAUAUACACAUAUACAAAAUAUAUGUAUACAUAUACACACUCGUGUACACAUGCUGACUAAAAGUUUUAGUAUAAAUUAUGCAUCCUUCACUUAUAAGAUUAAUUUGUGAGAUAUACAGUAAAUAUAUAUGCACCUCCACACACACCACAAAAAUGCCAGAAAUACACAGACUAACACAUUAUAUGGGAGAUUUUAAUAUAUUAAGGUACAUAAACUUAAGUAGUAAUAGAAAGCACUUCUUUUAGUCAGGUGUGGUGUCACAUGCCUGUAAUCUCAGCAUUAGUGAGGCUGAGACAUUAAUAUAAAGAGUUUGAGACCAGCCUGGACUAUAUAACAAGACCAUAUCAAAAGAAAGAAAUGUUUUUUUUUUAUUUGAAGUUCUCUUGAAAAUCACGAAUUAUGUAUCUCCUAAAGACAUAUGCGAAGAUAUGGACCAUCUGUCUUUCCUAUGGAAUGUGAUAAAGCAGACAGCUACAUCUCAAAGACCAAGUUGCAUAAAUUCUUUGUUGACCUUGGACAAUAUGCACUGAACGGGAAAAGAAGAAGAAAGAAAAGUCUAAUACACACACACAAAAAAAAAAAAAUUAGUCACAAUUAUUUUCUGGUGCUUUAUAGUCUAAGAAAAUAUUGAACUCUUCAAACCUUGUGCUUAUGCUUUCCACGAGAAAAUCCAUUUGAAGAGAGGACGAGGAAGAAAGAAGAGGAGAAGGAAUACAUUUGUCCUGGCUAGUUUUAUGUCAACUUUCCACAGUACAGUCAUUAGAAGAGGGAGCCUCAAUUGAGAAAAUGGCUUUAUAACAGGGAGCAGCAUGUAAUUUUCUUAAUUAGCAAUUAAUGUGGGAGGGUCCAGCCCACUGUGGGUGGUGCCAUCCCUGGGCUGGUGGUCCUGGGUUCUAUAAGAAAGCAGGCUGAGCAAGCCAGCAGGAGCAAGCCAGUAAGCAGCACCCUUCCACAGCCUCUGCAUAAGCUCCUGCCUCCAGGAGCUGCCCUGUGUGAAAUCCUAUCCUGGUUCCUUUGAUGAUGGGCUACAAUGUGGAAGUGAAAGCCCAAUAAACCUUUUCUUCAUCAACUUGA